UCCCUGUUAAGCAGACAACUCUCUGACAUUGUUCUAUCAACAAAUUAUGACCUAAAUCUCCUCCCUGGUCCUUUUUGAUCGAGAAUACUACAGAUGUGUGAAGAACAACUACAGGUCAAAGGGAUGUAAUUUAAACAAUCACCUUGACAAGACUAAUCUCUGAAACUGAAAUAGCUUAUCUCCUUAAUGCCCAAAUUAAGGGAAAUGUGUUUUGAAAAGGACAAGCAAUGAACAUCCUAUCUGAAUCAAGCUCAGUUCUUAUCUUAGAAUAACUAAUAUUAAUGUCCACACAUCCAACCCCAGCCUCACAAGCAUCCCCCUAACAGAAUCGACAUUUUAAAUGACCAUUUCACACCUCUAACAAUGAAGACUAACAGUUACAAGAAAAAUCAGUCCAGGAAAAAGAAAGUCCAAUUUAAGGCGGGACAUACCUAUUUACCUCCUCGGGUCUCAGCCUCUGGAAACGAAGUCCAAGCAAGUACUGCAUCAGGCGGCAAAGAAGUACACCAGCCACAGUGGCUUCGUCCAAGCUUUGAAGAGUACUGGGAUGCGGUUCAUAUGUCAGCGGAUGACGACUCCCUCCGACCCACCAAACUCAGGCCGGCAAAGUCUGCAAAUUUUAGGUUAGAAGAAGACAUAAGUUGUGAAGAGAACAUUAUUGUGAACAUACAGUCACUAGGGUCACUGUUACAAAACUUUAGUGAUCAUCAUUGUGAAAAUCCAGCAAUGAAUUUUUACAUCACAAAGAGACAGGGCCUAUGCAUUACUGGCAGAGCAGAGUGCUCCUACUGCCAUUUCAAGUCCACAGAAGUGAAGCUUCAUACAACAUUUAAGAAAAAGAGAGGGCCUGAAACCGGUACCUUGAAUGACGGACUCGCUCUGGCCCUGACGAAAUACAAACUUGGAGUUGCGGACGCGAAACUGGUGAUGAGCUGCCUAAACAUCAACCCACCUGACGGCCGUGGUCUGCAGCGCAAGUUGAACCAGAUGUGUGACCGGGUGGAGGCGAUCAACAAAGCAUCCAUGGUGGAAAAUCAGCAGUACGUACGGCGGGUAAACACACUCAGGGUGAAGGGGACUCCGUGGACCUGGAGACGGACACCUCAUACAACAACCGGCCCCAGGCCGAAUUUGAAGCAGCGACGCAGAGCUUUAGUCCCAUGCAAAACUGCUGCGGAAGAAUCUGGACUUAAUUCAAACAAGAAUAUCUUGACCCCCCGCUCUGUUACCAGUGAUGCCUCGGCCCAAGUGAAAAAAAACAUCAGAGACUAUUCGGAGGACCACAACCUGAACAUAAAGCACUACCACUGCUUCAUCCACAAGCUGAGGACCCUCCAGAAGAAUCUCCGAAGCAUUCGACUCAAAACCAGACUGGCUGCGGGACAAGACCGAGAAGCCUUUAUCCAGCGACUAGCCACCUGCAUCCGUGCCAGGAUCAGGUAUAAGCUGGUGAAGAUUCGCAGACUGUGCAGGGAGAAGUUCAUUUACCUGUUGUGCCCAUCUUCCUGGCUACACUACCUUCCGUAUGGAAAACACCUGGACCUGGACUUUGCCGACAUGGAUGCCAUUCAGUCCGUCAUCUGCAAGCAUUUCCGCGAUGAUGGUCUCCGGAAAGUCUGCAAGCUGGCAACCACUAACAGGUGCGAGAAUCUCCACCAGCGUGUCUUCACGUACGCGCCCAAGAACACCACGUGGGCCAGGAACUUCACAGCCAUGUGCCACUCUGCAGUCCACUCCUCCUCGCAUGGCGCCGGCAAGUCCAUGGUGAUCCUAGCGGGAAAAUGGGGCCUGAAAUGGAAGAAGACAAAAGAACCAUUUUACAGGAAUAUGCUGCAGAAAGACCAACUUGCAAGCUACCACCGUCAACGAAAACAGUCCUCCAUCUACAGAACAUCUCGAUACCUUAAGCUAUAA
rnacentral:sRNA from 1 species